ACGGCUCAGUAACACGUGGCUAAUCUGCCCUUGGGACCGGAACACCCCCGGGAAACUGGGGCUAAUUCUCGAUAGGUGAAGAACUCUGGAAUGAGUCUUUGCCCAAAAGACGUUUACGUUAUGCUCGUGGGCGUCGCCCAAGGAUGAGGCCGCGACCGAUCAGGUUGUUGGUGAGGUAAUGGCUCACCAAGCCUUUUACCGGUGCGGGCCGUGAGAGCGGGAGCCCGGAGAUGGGCACUGAGACAAGGGCCCAGGCCCUACGGGGCGCAGCAGUCGCGAAAACUUUGCAAUACACGAAAGUGUGACAGGGCUAUCCCGAGUGCCAUCCGCUGAGGAAGGCUUUUACCCAGUCUAGAACGCUGGGGGAAUAAGGAGAGGGCAAGUCUGGUGUCAGCCGCCGCGGUAAUACCAGCUCUCCGAGUGGUGUGGAUGUUUAUUGGGCCUAAAGCAUCCGUAGCUGGCUAAGUUAGUCCCUUGUUAAAUCCAACGAAUCAAUCGUUGGAUUGCGGGGGAUACUGCUUGGCUAGGGGACGAGAGAGGCAGACGGUAUUUCCGGGGUAGGGGUGAAAUCCUAUAAUCCCGGGAAGACCACCAGUGGCGAAGGCUGUCUGCUAGAACGCGCCCGACGGUGAGGGAUGAAAGCUGGGGGAGCGAACCGGAUUAGAUACCCGGGUAGUCCCAGCUGUAAACGAUGCAGGCUAGGUGUUUGGACGGCCACGUGCCGUUCUAGUGCCGCAGGGAAGCUGUUAAGCCUGCCGCCUGGGGAGUACGAUCGCAAGAUUGAAACUUAAAGGAAUUGGCGGGGGAGCAC
rnacentral:rRNA from 1 species